UACGUAGGGUGCGAGCGUUGUCCGGAAUUACUGGGCGUAAAGAGCUCGUAGGUGGUUUGUCGCGUUGUUCGUGAAAACUCACAGCUUAACUGUGGGCGUGCGGGCGAUACGGGCAGACUGGAGUACUGCAGGGGAGACUGGAAUUCCUGGUGUAGCGGUGGAAUGCGCAGAUAUCAGGAGGAACACCGGUGGCGAAGGCGGGACUCUGGGCCGAUACUGACGCUGAGGAGCGAAAGCGUGGGGAGCGAACAGG
rnacentral:rRNA from 1 species